rnacentral:rRNA from 1 species
CCUUUGAUGACGACUGGCGCACGGGUGAGUAACGCGUAUCCAACCUUCCCAUAACUACGGGAUAACCCGUUGAAAGACGGCCUAAUACCGUAUGAUAUCGUUUGCUGACAUCAAAUAACGAUUAAAGGUUUAGCGGUUAUGGAUGGGGAUGCGUCUGAUUAGCUUGUUGGCGGGGUAACGGCCCACCAAGGCAACGAUCAGUAGGGGUUCUGAGAGGAAGGUCCCCCACAUUGGAACUGAGACACGGUCCAAACUCCUACGGGAGGCAGCAGGC